rnacentral:lncRNA from 1 species
GCAAGGAGUCCUCAUCGAGAUGUUCUUCGGUGAAAAUCCUCUAACGCUCAACUUAAGAGAUGGAGAACAAUGAGAGAAGAGAGUAGGGAGUCGAGAGUUUACUUUGAAGAUCCCGAAGUCUUUUUAUUUAUAGGGGAAGAGUUGGAGUCGUAUACAUCUCAAAAUCCUGAUAAUUUUUCGAAUUUGUCGCAUAGAUUGAUUCAAAUGAGAUAUUUUCUUUUUAC